rnacentral:rRNA from 1 species
UACGGGAGGCAGCAGUGGGGGAUAUUGCGCAAUGGGGGCAACCCUGACGCAGCAACGCCGCGUGAAGGACGAAGGUCUUCGGAUUGUAAACUUCUUUUGUUAGGGACGAAAAUUGACGGUACCUGACGAAUAAGCUCCGGCUAACUACGUGCCAGCAGCCGCGGUAAU